GAUUUAGGCCCAACCAAUCCCUUUUAGCAAAUUACAAGGGUAAUUCGUGUUGAAGCCUUGGACCCCACUCCAACGCUCUAGUUGACGUUUUGCCCUCGGAGGCUGACUCGAGUAUAUCCAGUGCCAGCCUUGAUAUUUGGCUUGGUUGCCCACUUACUUUUAAGUCAUAAAAAAUAAAAAGACACACAAGUCAAAAAAAAAAAGAUAUUACAUUAUGCUUUUAGCUUGAAUAACAUCAAAAAAAUAAAAAUAAAAA